AUAGGGGAGCCGCAGGGAAACCGAGUCUUAACCGGGCGUUAAGUUGCAGGGUAUAGACCCGAAACCCGGUGAUCUAGCCAUGGGCAGGUUGAAGGUUGGGUAACACUAACUGGAGGACCGAACCGACUAAUGUUGAAAAAUUAGCGGAUGACCUGUGGCUGGGGGUGAAAGGCCAAUCAAACCGGGAGAUAGCUGGUUCUCCCCGAAAGCUAUUUAGGUAGCGCCUCGUGAACUCAUCUUCGGGGGUAGAGCACUGUUUCGGCUAGGGGGUCAUCCCGACUUACCAACCCGAUGCAAACUGCGAAUACCGGAGAAUGUUAUCACGGGAGACACACGGCGGGUGCUAACGUCCGUCGUGAAGAGGGAAACAACCCAGACCGCCAGCUAAGGUCCCAAAGUCAUGGUUAAGUGGGAAACGAUGUGGGAAGGCCCAGACAGCCAGGAUGUUGGCUUAGAAGCAGCCAUCAUUUAAAGAAAGCGUAAUAGCUCACUGGUCGAGUCGGCCUGCGCGGAAGAUGUAACGGGGCUAAACCAUGCACCGAAGCUGCGGCAGCGACGCUUAUGCGUUGUUGGGUAGGGGAGCGUUCUGUAAGCCGUUGAAGGUGGCCUGUGAGGGUUGCUGGAGGUAUCAGAAGUGCGAAUGCUGACAUAAGUAACGAUAAAGCGGGUGAAAAGCCCGCUCGCCGGAAGACCAAGGGUUCCUGUCCAACGUUAAUCGGGGCAGGGUGAGUCGACCCCUAAGGCGAGGCCGAAAGGCGUAGUCGAUGGGAAACAGGUUAAUAUUCCUGUACUCGGUGUUACUGCGAAGGGGGGACGGAGAAGGCUAUGUUGGCCGGGCGACGGUUGUCCCGGUUUAAGCAUGUAGGCGGGUGUUCCAGGUAAAUCCGGAACGCUGUUAACGCUGAGGUGUGAUGACGAGGCACUACGGUGCUGAAGCAACAAAUGCCCUGCUUCCAGGAAAAGCCUCUAAGCAUCAGGUAACAUCAAAUCGUACCCCAAACCGACACAGGUGGUCAGGUAGAGAAUACCAAGGCGCUUGAGAGAACUCGGGUGAAGGAACUAGGCAAAAUGGUGCCGUAACUUCGGGAGAAGGCACGCUGAUGGUAGGUGAAGUGAUUUACUCAUGGAGCUGAAAUCAGUCGAAGAUACCAGCUGGCUGCAACUGUUUAUUAAAAACACAGCACUGUGCAAACACGAAAGUGG
rnacentral:rRNA from 1 species